GCGGCGUGCUUAACACAUGCAAGUCGAACGGAAAGGCCCUGCUUUUGUGGGGUGCUCGAGUGGCGAACGGGUGAGUAACACGUGAGUAACCUGCCCUUGACUUUGGGAUAACUUCAGGAAACUGGGGCUAAUACCGGAUAGGAGCUCCUGCUGCAUGGUGGGGGUUGGAAAGUUUCGGCGGUUGGGGAUGGACUCGCGGCUUAUCAGCUUGUUGGUGGGGUAGUGGCUUACCAAGGCUUUGACGGGUAGCCGGCCUGAGAGGGUGACCGGCCACAUUGGGACUGAGAUACGGCCCAGACUCCUACGGGAGGCAGCAGUGGGGAAUAUUGCACAAUGGGCGGAAGCCUGAUGCAGCAACGCCGCGUGCGGGAUGACGGCCUUCGGGUUGUAAACCGCUUUCGCCUGUGACGAAGCGUGAGUGACGGUAAUGGGUAAAGAAGCACCGGCUAACUACGUGCCAGCAGCCGCGGUGAUACGUAGGGUGCGAGCGUUGUCCGGAUUUAUUGGGCGUAAAGGGCUCGUAGGUGGUUGAUCGCGUCGGAAGUGUAAUCUUGGGGCUUAACCCUGAGCGUGCUUUCGAUACGGGUUGACUUGAGGAAGGUAGGGGAGAAUGGAAUUCCUGGUGGAGCGGUGGAAUGCGCAGAUUUCAGGAGGAACACCAGUGGCGAAGGCGGUUCUCUGGGCCUUUCCUGACGCUGAGGAGCGAAAGCGUGGGGGAGCGAACAGGCUUAGAUACCCUGGUAGUCCACGCUGUAAACGGUGGGUACUAGGUGUGGGGUCCAUUCCACGGGUUCCGUGCCGUAGCUAACGCUUUAAGUACCCCGCCUGGGGAGUACGGCCGCAAGGCUAAAACUCAAAGGAAUUGACGGGGCCCCGCACAAGCGGCGGAGCAUGCGGAUUAAUUCGAUGCAACGCGUAGAACCUUACCUGGGUUUGACAUGGAUCGGGAGUGCUCAGAGAUGGGUGUGCCUCUUUUGGGGUCGGUUCACAGGUGGUGCAUGGCUGUCGUCAGCUCGUGUCGUGAGAUGUUGGGUUAAGUCCCGCAACGAGCGCAACCCUUGUUCACUGUUGCCAGCACGUUAUGGUGGGGACUCAGUGGAGACCGCCGGGGUCAACUCGGAGGAAGGUGGGGAUGACGUCAAGUCAUCAUGCCCCUUAUGUCCAGGGCUUCACGCAUGCUACAAUGGCUGGUACAGAGAGUGGCGAGCCUGUGAGGGUGAGCGAAUCUCGGAAAGCCGGUCUCAGUUCGGAUUGGGGUCUGCAACUCGACCUCAUGAAGUCGGAGUCGCUAGUAAUCGCAGAUCAGCAACGCUGCGGUGAAUACGUUCCCGGGGCUUGUACACACCGCCCGUCAAGUCAUGAAAGUUGGUAACACCCGAAGCCGGUGGCCUAACCGUUGUGGGGGAGCCGUCGAAGGUGGGACUGGUGAUUAGGACU
rnacentral:rRNA from 1 species